ACGAACGCUGGCGGCGUGCCUAAUACAUGCAAGUUGAGCGCUGAAGGUUGGUACUUGUACCAACUGGAUGAGCAGCGACCGGGUGAGUAACGCGUGGGGAAUCUGCCUUUGAGCGGGGGACAACAUUUGGAAACGAAUGCUAAUACCGCAUAAAAACUUUAAACACAAGUUUUAAGUUUGAAAGAUGCAAUUGCAUCACUCAAAGAUGAUCCCGCGUUGUAUUAGCUAGUUGGUGAGGUAAAGGCUCACCAAGGCGAUGAUACAUAGCCGACCUGAGAGGGUGAUCGGCCACAUUGGGACUGAGACACGGCCCAAACUCCUACGGGAGGCAGCAGUAGGGAAUCUUCGGCAAUGGACGAAAGUCUGACCGAGCAACGCCGCGUGAGUGAAGAAGGUUUUCGGAUCGUAAAACUCUGUUGGUAGAGAAGAACGUUGGUGAGAGUGGAAAGCUCAUCAAGUGACGGUAACUACCCAGAAAGGGACGGCUAACUACGUG
rnacentral:rRNA from 1 species